rnacentral:rRNA from 1 species
UAGUCAUACGCUUCUCUCAAAGAUUAAGCCAUGCAUGUCUAAGUAUAAGCACUUAUACCGUGAAACUGCGAAUGGCUCAUUAUAUCAGUUAUUGUUUAUUUGAUAGUUCCUACUACUUGGAUAACCGUAGUAAUUCUAGAGCUAAUACAUGCGUUAAACCCUGACUGCUUGCAGAAAGGGCGUAUUUAUUAGAUACAACCAACCCUUCGGGUCACUGGUGAAUCAUAAUAACUUAUCGAACCGCAUGCUUCGGCGGCGGUGGUUCAUUCAAGUUU